rnacentral:rRNA from 1 species
AACUAACGCUAGCGGCGUGCCUAACACAUGCAAGUCGUACGAGAAAGUCGGCUUCGGUCGGCGAGUAAAGUGGCGCACGGGUGAGUAACGCGUGGAUAAUCUACCCUUGAGUUGGGAAUAACGUGCCGAAAGGUGCGCUAAUACCGAAUAAUACUGAGUGACUAAUGUUGCUUAGUCAAAGAAGGCCUCUGCUUGCAAGCUUUCGCUGAAGGAUGAGUCCGCGUACCAUUAGCUAGUUGGUAGGGUAAUGGCCUACCAAGGCAACGAUGGUUAGCUGGUCUGAGAGGAUGAUCAGCCACACUGGAACUGAGACACGGUCCAGACUCCGUACGGGAGGCAGCAGUGAGGAAUAUUGCGCAAUGGGGCAACCCUGACGCAGCAACGCCGCGUGAGUGAGGAAGGUUUUCGGACCGUAAAGCUCUGUCGAGCGGGAAGAAAUGCAUGCUGGCUAAUAUCCAUCAUGCUUGACGGUACCGCUA